rnacentral:lncRNA from 1 species
AGGAGGAGAAUACGUCGUUUACUUCGUCGGCGGAGAGGACGUCGAAGCAGCUCUCUGUCCCGAUGUAGUCUCCCACGGCGGAGGAAGAUGAUGAUGACGUGCGGGAAAGCAUGGAUGACGUCAGAUAAGACGAGGUUUGAUCGGAAAAGAUGGAAAGAGACUGAUCAGAAGAACAAGAAGCCAUGGAUGAUGAUGAUGACUUGGAGGAGGAAGAAGAGGCUCUCUCCAUAUUCUUGAAUUUAAAUAAAUAACAAAACCCAGAAAAUAUUGAUUUUUUGUGGGUUUUGU